AAACACUUUUGAUUCACCACCAUCUCUUUCAUUCGUGCCCUACCCGAAACAAGCUCUCCCUUUUCUGGCGUCUCUCACAAGUUCACCACCGGCUGACUCUCCGGCGCCGACAGCUGUUGCUCCUUCACCAGCUGAAGCUUAUGAAUCGAGGCUCACGGAUAUCAUGCAAACUUUGCUACAACGACACUUGUAACCAAGGCAUGACUGAAAGCAUGUUAACUUUUACAUUGAGAUUGCGGCUCCAGAUUAUCUUCUUACUAUUUGGAAUUGUUGCUGGCUUUGCGCCUCUAUGUAUCAAUAUGCAUGUGGUAAAUUUUUCUGUAAUUUUGCGUCAAGUACCAUUAUAUGCCCUUAAUUUGAAUUGAUGUUGGCAUUUGU